GACUUCUGUGGUUCAGUUGGUUAGAGCGCUGCACCGGAAUCGCAGCGCCGCAGGUUCAAUUCCUGCCAGGGACC